AGAGGCUGUCGGACUCUGACUGCGCGGAGACCGCUGGACUCUGGUCGCGGCCUUAGUCCGCUGAUCCUCGCUUGGGUGCCCGCCCUUAGCGGCCCGGCGUUGAAUUCCGGGAAGUGGGAGCUUCAGGCUCGCUCCGUGCGGGUAUGGGCGCUAAUGUCACUUGGGAUGGUUGCGCAAGGACAUCGCGGCGGACACUGACAAGGAACCGGGGAGGAACGGGGGUGGGGAGAGACUGCGAUGGGACUCGGGAAGCCGGGAAGGGCCGCGCUGAAUAAGCCUAAGGGGCCGGGUCGCAAGGAGUGUCGGGUAGCACAGGCCUCGGCUCAGUCGGAGCGCCAGGCCUCAGGGUCCGGGCGGGGGCUGCUGCGUCACACCAGGCAGCCUGGGAACGCAACUGUUGGGCAACCGUGGUGGCCUCUCGCCACCUCUUACGCUUGGGCGAUCUGCGAUUGACGCAUCCUGGGAGCUGAUGUCCCGCACGGGCGGGGCGCCGGAGGAGGAGAGAAAAUAGAGACCCGGUUGUUGACAGCCUGUGAUGCCGCUUGAUUCAUGUGUGGGUGGCCUGGUUUAGAAAUGUACCACCCUUCCUUUCUAGGUUCCUCCCCGGAGGGCGGGGUGACGGGUGCGGCGCCGAAUCGCAACAAAAAACGCUGCUCGAGGGAUAGGCGGGGUUUUGUCAUGUUGCUAGGUUGGUGUUGAACUCCUGAGCUCGAGCGAUCCACCUGCCACUGCCUUCCAAAGUGCUGGAAUUACAGGCGUGAGCCACGGCGCCCGGUGGCCGAGGUUAAUAAUAAUUAAAAGUUUCUAAUCCCAUUGUUCAGUUAUUUGAUUUGGUGUAAAGGCGCACUUUCCAAGUCAGAUGAGUUUGUGGUAACAUACAUUCCCCAAAUAAUUAUUUUUCCCUUGUGGGAAAUAUUCCAGUUUUAGGCUACCAGCUGUUUAAACAGUUUGGUUCAAAUCCUUCAAAAAAAUCUCAAAACAUAACUCCACAUAUGUAUUUACUACAUAUUGAAGGGUGUAUUCACUUGGAGAAGUAGGAGAAAGCAAACAGAUGCCAAUGGCCUUUUUGAAAACAUGUAUCUAUCAGCAAUAAUUGAAUAGCAAAACGAAGUGGAACACUACCAUCCUUUGCAAUAUUAGAUAGUUUUAAUACUGGGUUGUGAGGAAUGAAAAGAUCAUACAAAUCGUCAUUUCUGAAGUCAUUUCUGAAGUCGUCAUUUCUGAACUGAGUGCUAAUUUUUCAUAUUAAGCUUUAUGUUAAUAUCCUUAAUGAGAGGAACUUCCUGUGCCCGUAAUUUCUCCAGAGAAACUAUUAACAUACACAGAAUGUUGUAAUCAGAAGUAUAGUUCAGUUAAUAAAGUCCUCAAUUACAACUCUGACAUUUUGUCAUUGUCUUAUGAAAAGAAUUACUGUAUAUACAGUCUAUUUUACGUUUUCCGGAAGCACGUCAGGCAGGUUUUUUGUUUUUUUACUACUAAUUGUGCCAUUGAAUAUGCUAUUCUGUCGUAUUGUGCCAUCAAACAUGCUAUUCGAAAAAAGAUCUUGCCCAAUUUGUAAUAAAAUAUUGAACAUUGGAGAUUUAGAUUUCGAGUAAAAUCAUACUUUAUUGCUUUGCAGAAGUACACAGUAGGUGGAAAAUUGCAACAAUCUUGCCAGUUCAUUUUUUAAAAAGCGUGUAGGUAAUCCAAAGAUACCUUUUUGAUGAUUUGUUAUCAACAUAGUUAAAUUUGCAGUGUCACUUUAUUUGAAUAAACUAGCUUUAUCUCUACUUAGUGGUACUAAAACAAUAGCCAAACAGUUGAUAAUCUCAACACAUGACUAACGAAAAAUUCCACAUAAUUAACAUUAACCAGGAGGUUUUUGUUACUAUUUAAUUUCUCAUUUUUAAAAUUUCAUAUUCUUUGGAAAGAAUAUUACUUUUCCGGAAUCUAAGACAGCAUUUUGUGGGUCCUUAAUUGUGAUAUGCUUUACUAGGUAAAGUACUAAAUGGGUAUCCUUAGGUGGGGAUAGGCUGGGAACCACAUAUCCAGAAUUGUGAAAUAUAUAACAUAAACAGGAUAACUUGCUCCUUUGUUAGCUUUUUGGAUGCCAGGGUUAAGAUUUUAAUUCCAUAAUUAUGUCCUUGUUGCCUGGAGGAUUUGCAUAUGAGAAACCACAAAAACAAUCGGGACAUUAUUAAAAUACCCUAGAAUCUCAACCUGUGACAGUAUUUCCCAUGUCCUUGCAAAACCAGAGGAAGUCUUUCCAAUAUGAUUCUUAAAUUUACAAAGUCCUCUGAAUAGAAACCAUGAAAUCCUAAGUCAUCUUCUAGUGAAGAUUUGCUGUACAUUUUCUGUUUUCCUAAUAAGAAAUUAGAGGAGUUUAGUUCCCAGUGUUGGGCAAGGGAUAGGACUCAGUCACCUGGAAAGUUCUUUUGUAACUACACGUGCCUGACACUCCUAUUCUUCCCCUCUGCUGAUAUGCAGAAUUUCUAGGUUCUAGGUAGUAUUUGGGAAGUUUCCCAGAUUAUUCUGAUAUCUACCAGCGGCUCAUCCACCUUCUUUAUGGUCACUGUAUUUGGGGAUUUUGAAUGAUAAAUUCUUGAAUCACUAAAAGCUAAAUUUCAAACAGAAAAUUGUUAGAGAUGAUACUAAGAGGCAAGUAUGUAUAAAAUCUAAUAGGCAUUGAAGAAGAUACAAAGAUUCCAUCCUCUACUGAAAAAUUAAGUGUGCACGCAGAGUAAGAAAGAAGGUUAAGUAGCCAACCUCAAAAAUAUUUAAAAAUUAUUGCAUUGAUGCUGUAUCACUCAUUUCCUUGCCCAGAUUCUUUUUUUUUUUUUUUUUUUUUGAGACAGAGUCUCACUUUGUCACCCAGGCUGGAGUGCAGUGGUGCUAUCUCAUUUCACUGCAAUCUCCGCUUUCUGGGUUCAAGUGAUUCUCAUGCCUCAGCCUUCCAAGUAGCUGGGACUACAGGCACGCGCCACCACACCCAGCUAAUUUUGUGUACUUUUAGUAGAGACUGGGUUUCACCAUGUUGGCAAGGCUGGUGUCAAACUCCUGACCUCAGGUGAUCUGCCUGCUUCAGCCUCCCAAAGUGCUGGGAUUACAGGUGUGAGCCACCAUGCCCAGCCCUUGCCCAGAUUCUUUAUUCACUGCUGUCCAAAUACUGUUGGUCCUCUGUACCUGCAGGGAUUUGCAGGUACAGAGGCUCAACUAUAAGGGACUUGAGCAUCCCCAGGUUUUGGUAAAUGGGGGUCCUGGAACUAAUUCUCUGCAGAUACUGAGGGACAAACGGUACCACUCAUUUUAAUGCAGAAAUUUUGUAUUCAUCCUUUCUUUUUAACUCCCACUACCGGGCUUAGUUUAGGCCUCUAUUUUCUCUAUCUUUCCCUUCAGCUUAUCCUUUAGGUUUCCUUCAAACUUGAAAUCUAACUAAAUCAGUCCCCUGUUAUAUACCACAUAUAUUUGUAAACUAAACAUAUAUGAAGAUGUAUGUACAUAUCAUAUAUUCCUAGUAUUUUAGUUACUUAAUUUUUUCACAGACUAAUCUCAGUAUUGCCUCUCAUCAUUCCUAAUGGACACUUGGUACUCUAGACACUUCUUCAGGUCACUGGAAAGGUAUCUCUCAUUGUAAGUGGAUAUAACCCAUUUAUCUUAUGGGUCAGUCUUUCAUAAGUUCGUUUAAGUAAAUGCUCAAGAACUGUUGAGUACCUUGACACAAUUGUGCUGACAACCUAUAAGACUUGUCAGAAAACUCUCUGACCUCCCUUUUAGGACAUGGAAUUGAGUAUUCUGUAAGUGCGGCAUGUCAUUGUAUCACAAUAUAGCAUUUGUUUCCAUACUACAUUGUGAGGUCCUUGAGCAAAGAGUACUGUGCCCCAGUGCAUUGUAUUGAUAUUCAUUCAAUACAAAUGUAAGAAUGUAUUACAUACCAGACAUUCUGCUGAGGGUAGGGAGGGAUUAUAAUACAGCAAAAACUAACACUUUCAAAGUUAAAGCCUAGUUCAGGACACAGUCACACUAUAAAAUGACAACUUAGAAAAAUAGUAUGAAGAGACAUACGGUGCUGUGAGAAUCCAUAAUAAAGAACCCUAGUCAGAAAAGUCUCAAGGAAGUGACGUGAUCGUUGUGGUCUAGAGCUGAAGAAUUAAUAUGAAUUAGGUAGGCAAGAAAGGGAAGUACAAGAGCUGCUUUCUGGGUAAAAGAAACAACAUGGGCAAAGAUUCUGGGGUCAGAGAGAUCACGUCAGUGCACUUGCCAGUUUGCCAAGAACAGGCCGUAUUCACUUUCAGAAGUGUUCAGGUUUGGAUAGUAAAUUGCAGGGCCAUCCUAUCUAUAAGGGACUCUAAGAAGCAUGGUUCUGCUGGAGCAAACAGCAGCUGGACAAGAUGAGGCUACAUAGACACUAGGCCCAAAGGCUAAGUGAAGUAUGUUUUUCAAGACAAUGAGGAAGCUAUUGAAGGAUUUGAAACUGGGUGGUAGCUUGAUGGGACUGGCAAAUUGAAAGUUUUUACUUUAGGUAUAAAUCCCAAAGAAGGAUUAGAUGUGGGUUGAAGUAGAUACAGUAUUCCUAAUUAAGUCAGGAGUCUUUGGCAGAUAAGAGAGGUUAGAAAUGACAUGAUAGACUAGGAUAGUGUAAUGGAGGUGGAGAGAAGUAGAAUUGGGAAGGGUAACAAAACUUGAUGGGAUUGGAUUCAGGCAGGGUUAGGAGGAGGAGGGAUGUUAGUCAUUUGCAGCUGAAUGACAUUCACUUAUAUAGUAAUGUAUUUGGAGAUGUAUAGAUAGGGAGAUCAUUACGUUUGGUUUAAGACAGAAUUGGGCCGGGUGUGAUGGCUCAUCCCAGCACUUUGGGAGGCCAAA
rnacentral:lncRNA from 1 species